rnacentral:tRNA from 1 species
GGGCGCGUAGCUCAGCGGGAGAGCACACCCUUGACAUGGGUGGGGUCGCAGGUUCAAUCCCUGCCGCGCCCACCA